AGGAAUUAGAUGCAAUAAUAUUUUAUAACAGCCACUACAUUUGCCCCCAUCACAUGCCAUUAAUUUAGGCCCACAUUUGACUGAUCUUUUGACCAUCUGUAAUCAGCCUUUGUGCAAAAAUUUUGAAUGCGUGGAACAUUUCUUUUUCCUAAUAAUGACAGAAUGACAUCAUAUACAGAUGCCUUGUAUGAGUUUUACCAUCCCAGCCCCGUCAACUGUUGAAUUUAGGAGCCCCCUCCUCCCAAGUCCCUUGUCUGGCAGGAAAUCAUGGUCAUGAUGCAAGUCAGAUAUUAUACUUUGGUUAAAGAA
rnacentral:lncRNA from 1 species